GACGAACGCUGGCGGCGCGCUUAACACAUGCAAGUCGAACGGUAAGGCCCUUCGGGGUACACGAGUGGCGAACGGGUGAGUAACACGUGGGUGAUCUGCCCUGCACUUCGGGAUAAGCCUGGGAAACUGGGUCUAAUACCGGAUAGGACCACGGCCUGCAUGGGUGGUGGUGGCAAGCUUUUGCGGUGUGGGUUGGGCCCGCGGCCUAUCAGCUUGUUGGGGGGGUGAUGGCCUACCAAGGCGACGACGGGUAGCCGGCCUGAGAGGGUGACCGGCCACACUGGGACUGAGAUACGGCCCAGACUCCUACGGGAGGCAGCAGUGGGGAAUAUUGCACAAUGGACGCAAGCCUGAUGCAGCGACGCCGCGUGAGGGAUGACGGCCUUCGGGUUGUAAACCUCUUUCAGCACCGACGAAGCGCAAGUGACGGUAGGUGCAGAAGAAGGACCGGCCAACUACGUGCCAGCCGCCGCUGUAA
rnacentral:rRNA from 1 species